rnacentral:rRNA from 1 species
GCUUUGAAGCGUGGACGCCAGUCUGCGUGGAGCCGACCUUGAAAUACCACCCUUUAAUGUUUGAUGUUCUAACGUGGAUCCGUAAUCCGGGUUGCGGACAGUGUCUGGUGGGUAGUUUGACUGGGGCGGUCUCCUCCUAAAGAGUAACGGAGGAGCACGAAGGUUGGCUAAUCCUGGUCGGACAUCAGGAGGUUAGUGCAAUGGCAUAAGCCAGCUUGACUGCGAGCGUGACGGCGCGAGCAGGUGCGAAAGCAGGUCAUAGUGAUCCGGUGGUUCUGAAUGGAAGGGCCAUCGCUCAACGGAUAAAAGGUACUCCGGGGAUAACAGGCUGAUACCGCCCAAGAGUUCAUAUCGACGGCGGUGUUUGGCACCUCGAUGUCGGCUCAUCACAUCCUGGGGCUGAAGUAGGUCCCAAGGGUAUGGCUGUUCGCCAUUUAAAGUGGUACGCGAGCUGGGUUUAGAACGUCGUGAGACAGUUCGGUCCCUAUCUGCCGUGGGCGCUGGAGAACUGAGGGGGGCUGCUCCUAGUACGAGAGGACCGGAGUGGACGCAUCACUGGUGUUCGGGUUGUCAUGCCAAUGGCACUGCCCGGUAGCUAAAUGCGGAAGAGAUAAGUGCUGAAAGCAUCUAAGCACGAAACUUGCCCCGAG